AAAAAGGUUUUAUUUAAAACCACCCUUGGUCGCUCACGCAAUCAUG
rfam:Picea glauca, whole genome shotgun sequence.